UCCCUGGUGGCUCAGCUGGUAAAGAAUCUGCCUGCAAUGCAGGACACCUGGGUUCGAUUCCUGGGUUGGGAA
rnacentral:tRNA from 1 species